rnacentral:pre_miRNA from 1 species
AUUCCUACGGAAACCUAUUGUUCUGUGGUUGGUUUCGAUCUAUCGUUCUCGUACUGCGUGACCUCUACGGAACAAUAGUUUUCCAGGAGAUUUCCCGGUUUCGACUGCCGAAGCAUGGAA